rnacentral:rRNA from 1 species
GAUGAACGCUGGCGGCGUGCCUAAUACAUGCAAGUCGAGCGAACAUACGAAGAGCUUGCUGCUCUGUCGUUAGCGGCGGACGGGUGAGUAACACGUGGCUAACCUACCUCUAUGGCUUAGGUAACUGCGACAAACCGGAGUUCAUACUACAUAAUAUAUUCAACUGCAUGGUUCAUGAGUGAAAGACGGUUUUUUUGUCACUCAUAGAUGCUUCCGGGCCGCAUUAGCUGGAUGGUACGGCAACGGCUUCCCAAGGCAACGAUGCGUAGCCGACCUGGGAGGGUGGUCGGCGACACUGGAACUGAGACGCGGUCCAGACUCCUGAGAGAGGCAGCAGUAGCGAAUCUUCCGCAAUGGGCGAAAGCCUGGCGGAGCGACGGCGCGUGAGUGAUGAAGGUCUUCGGAUCGUAAAACUCUGUUAUUAGUGAAGAACAAAUGUGUGAGGAAAUGAGCACAUCUUGACGGUACCUGAACAGAAAGCCACGGCUAACUACGUG